AGCGGCGGACGGGUGAGUAACGCGUGGGAAUAUGCCCUUCUCUAAGGAAUAGCCUCGGGAAACUGAGAGUAAUACCUUAUACGCCCUUCGGGGGAAAGAUUUAUCGGAGAAGGAUUAGCCCGCGUUAGAUUAGGUAGUUGGUGGGGUAAUGGCCUACCAAGCCUACGAUCUAUAGCUGGUUUGAGAGGAUGAUCAGCCACACUGGGACUGAGACACGGCCCAGACUCCUACGGGAGGCAGCAGUAGGGAAUCUUAGACAAUGGGGGAAACCCUGAUCUAGCCAUGCCGCGUGUGUGAUGAAGGCCUUAGGGUCGUAAAGCACUUUCGCCAGAGAUGAUAAUGACAGUAUCUGGUAAAGAAACCCCGGCUAACUCCGUGCCAGCAGCCGCGGUAAUACGGAGGGGGUUAGCGUUGUUCGGAAUUACUGGGCGUAAAGCGUACGUAGGCGGAUUAGUAAGUUAGAGGUGAAAUCCCAGGGCUCAACCCUGGAACUGCCUUUAAUACUGCUAGUCUUGAGUUCGAGAGAGGUAAGUGGAAUUCCGAGUGUAGAGGUGAAAUUCGUAGAUAUUCGGAGGAACACCAGUGGCGAAGGCGGCUUACUGGCUCGAUACUGACGCUGAGGUACGAAAGUGUGGGGAGCAAACAGGAUUAGAUACCCUGGUAGUCACACGU
rnacentral:rRNA from 1 species